rnacentral:rRNA from 1 species
AUUGAACGCUGGCGGCAUGCUUUACACAUGCAAGUCGAACGGUAACAGGCCUUCGGGCGCUGACGAGUGGCGAACGGGUGAGUAAUGCAUCGGAACGUGCCCAGAGGUGGGGGAUAACGCAGCGAAAGCUGUGCUAAUACCGCAUAUUAUCUGGGGAUGAAAGCGGGGGACUAAGCAGCAAUGUUUGGCCUCGCGCCUUUGGAGCGGCCGAUGUCAGAUUAGGUAGUUGGUGGGGUAAAGGCCUACCAAGCCGACGAUCAGUAGCUGGUCUGAGAGGACGAUCAGCCACACUGGGACUGAGACACGGCCCAGACUCCUACGGGAGGCAGCAGUGGGAAUUUUGGACAAUGGGGGAAACCCUGAUCCAGCAAUGCCGCGUGAGUGAAGAAGG